AAUGGUUCUACCUUUUGAACCCCUAUCUCUUGUGUUUCGAGACGUUCAGUACUCUGUUGACACUCCUGCGGCAAUGAAGGAGCUCGGUUUCACACAAAAUAAACUCCAACUUCUUUCAGACAUUACUGGCGCAUUUAGACCUGGUGUCCUUGCAGCCCUUAUGGGUGUCAGUGGGGCUGGAAAAACAACCCUGCUUGAUGUUCUUGCAGGUAGAAAA
rnacentral:misc_RNA from 1 species